rnacentral:rRNA from 1 species
UACGUAGGUGGCAAGCGUUGUCCGGAUUUACUGGGCGUAAAGAGCGCGCAGGCGGCUGGCCAAGUCCGAUGUGAAAGCUCCCGGCUUAACUGGGAAACUGCAUCGGAAACUGGUCGGCUUGAAGGUGGGAGAGGGUAGCGGAAUUCCCGGUGUAGUGGUGAAAUUCGUAGAUAUUCGGAAGAACACCAGUGGCGAAGGCGGCUCACUGGUCCGGUACUGACGCUGAGGUGCGAAAGCGUGGGGAGCAAACAGG